CCGAAGACCAAAUCCCAACAUCCUCUUUAAUUAUUGCUCUGUAGAAUUACGAUUGCUUUGGAAAAUAAAGGAAUACCACAUUUAGAUGAUGUUUAAUAGUUCUUUAACCAGAAAUACAGCCAUUUAACGAGCAUAUAACCAUCUAUGAAACCACCUUUCUAGUUCUGCUCUACCUCUCAAGAUUUACAGCAAAGAAACAAGAUUUACAAGUUGUUUCUCUAAUGCUUUACACAUAAAUUAACAUAAAAAUCCAGCUACUACCAACUUUUUCUCAGCAUUUACUUGACUAUCCUCCAAAGCCUACUGAAUGCAAAUCAAAAGUUUAGACAAAUGAGAGGAUUACCUGAAAGUCACCCGCAGAAAACAAUAAUCCUGCUCUCGUGUUAGAGCACAUAACUCCAGCAAUUUGGCAAGAAGUUACAUCUCCUCCUCGCCCACAACGAGCAUAUUCCAACAAUUUCCUCCAGGAUUUAUGUUCUUCUGUAUAGCUUAGUUAACGCUAUCUCCUUUCAAAGGAAUGACCCACGCAGACAUUUCAAAGCAAGGUGUUUGUGGCACCUAUACCUUUCUUUCCCCCAGUGUAUUCCCCCUUGUCACCGCUCUUCUGUACCAGUGGAGGGGAAAAACAAGAAGACUGAUUUCCUUCAGACUCUGCCUAUGUACCACAAACUACUAGGCAGUGUAAGACGUUUUGCAGUUUCACCUAUUUGCUUUCAAACCGCACCGACCCAACCCCACCCUCAGAGCGUGAACCAAGCAGGAAGCACUCUCUGAAAAGCACUUGUGCCCACGGCGUUUUUAUCCUACUCGAGGCAUAUUUUUUAGCGCGGCGACUGCGCACAGCCACCCCUCAGAAACGCCAGGCAGCCUCCCUCGCGCAAGUUUUUAAACAGUUUUCUUUUUUGGUUGUUGUUGUUGUUGUUGUUGUUGUUGUUGUUGUUGUUGUUGUUGUUGUUGUUGUUUUCCCCCCCGCAGCCCAGAAGCAGGAGCGGCUUCCUCCUCACCCAGGCCUCCGCCGCAGAGCUCACGCCGGCUGCGGAGAGCUGUGGGGGCCCAAAGCCCCCACCCCGCGCGGCCGCCCGCGCGCCCAGACCGGCCCGAACCGGUCCGGGCCGGGCGGAGCCGUUGCGGCCGGGCGGGGCCGCGCUCACCUGCCCUCCCCGCUUCAGCGGCGGGCGGUGCGGGGCUGGGGAGAUGGCGGCCGCCGACCCUCCGGGCGCUGGGGAGCUCUCGCAGCUGCACUGAAAUGAGGUUGUCAUCAGGAAAGAUGAAGGGAAAACAGCACUGCACUGAAUCUGGGAGCGUAUCAUCGUCUACAGUCAGUGUCACUAGUCUCAAAAAGUGUCAGUGACAACAAACACACUUGUGUCAGAAUCUCUUAUUAUUAUUUCUCCAGUAAAAGAGUUAAACACUGCGUUUAUUCUUCUCAGUAGGACACUUUCAUGUAACUGGGAAAGAACCACUACUUUCAGAGGAGACAAAAAAAGUAACAUUUUGGAUAGAAAACUGUAUCCUAURUAGUGAAUUACACUUUCUUACAUUUAAAAAGUCUCACAGGGUAUUUCCUUUAUUCUAAUACUGUAAUCUUUAAAUUUUUGUAUGUUUAUUUGUUGCCUUUUUAACUUAAAUAUUCUUAAAUAACAAGAUGCUUCUAUAACAAAACUUCUCCAUUUGUGUGUGCCUCCUUGAUGCUCCUUUAGAUUUUGUACAUUAUAAAAUUCAGACAUGAAUGUUGAAAAUAUCUAUUUGAUGUUAUUACAAAGGUUCCUUUGUGAAAAUUUUUAUUCACGUCCAGUACUGUGGCGGACAGAUGAAUGAAUUUUUUGCCUUAAACAUUUCUUGGUGCAUGGAGUGCAGGCAGGCCAUAACCCCGAACAAGCCAUCUGUCCCUGGCGGAAACAGGACUGGGCUGCUGCGACCCCCGAGAUGGUCUCCCUGCGACCACCCGGAACACACCGAGCCUGCACUGAAUGAGACCACAAUCGGGCAGAGACUUUGGGAUCCGUUUUUAGCACAACUUCUAUAAAACUUGCUUGGCAUGAGUGGCUAAAUUUGCUGAAGCCUUAGGCCGUGCUCCCUAGUUCGGUGAGAAAGGGCCCCAGAGCUGGUGUAGGCGGGAACGAUAAGGGGGUUACCAGCAAUUUGCAUUCCUGUGCACUGCUGAAACAGUGCUAAUUGCUGGAGUUACCACCUCUUUGUCAAGACCUUGAGAGAUGAUGGUGGGACCCGAGGAAGGAAGACACACCUGUC
rnacentral:lncRNA from 1 species